GACGAACGCUGGCGGCGUGCUUAACACAUGCAAGUCGAACGGAAAGGCCCUGCUUUUGUGGGGUGCUCGAGUGGCGAACGGGUGAGUAACACGUGAGUAACCUGCCCUUGAUUUUGGGAUAACUUCAGGAAACUGGGGCUAAUACCGGAUAGGAGCUCCUGCUGCAUGGUGGGGGUUGGAAAGUUCCGGCGGGUGGGGAUGGACUCGCGGCUUAUCAGCUUGUUGGUGGGGUAGUGGCUUACCAAGGCUUUGGCGGGUAGCCGGCCUGAGAGGGUGACCGGCCUCAUUGGGACUGAGAUACGGCCCAGACUCCUACGGAAGGCAGCGGUGGGGAAUAGUGCACAAUGGGCGGAAGCCUGAUGCAGCAACGCCGCGUGCGGGAUGACGGCCUUCGGGUUGUAAACCGCUUUCGCCUGUGACGACGCGUGAGUGACGGUACUGGGUAAAGAAGCACCGGCUAACUACGUG
rnacentral:rRNA from 1 species